UUGCUUUUCAAGAUAUCCUUUCCGAUGUUAGGCUGGGCUGCGUGAUUCGUCGAUGUCUGCUCAAUACAGUUGUGGUGAUCCCGGUGACGAGGACAUUAGGGACAUCGGCCCGGCGGAGUCUGGUGAGUCAGCUAUGAAGCCAAAUCCGCAGUCACCAGGGACCAGGGUGGAUCGAGAGAGUUCUUGUGGGAGCGAAUCCUACAGAGCGAACCCUAUGCCCCGUUAGUAUGGGUACUCUUGAGAAGUCCAUAAGGGCUUUCACAGAGGCAUGUAGAAGAGGUCGUCAAGCCGGAGUUGGGCACCACAUUUGCCUCGCUGACAGAGGCAUACGUCUUUUACAACCUGUAUUAGUGGGAAAAUGGGUUUAGUAUCAGGCAUGGGAAGAGCCGAUUGAAUCCCGACAAGCGGAAGACCAUGCAAGAGACUGUUUGUGGUUGCUCAGGGGAGGCUUUGCGUGAGAAUACAAGGUUGUGCCGCUGUGAGUGUCCUGCGAUGAUAAGGCUGCUACGGACAUCAGAUAAUGGGUGGUAUACAAUGGAGCACCGGGUAAAGCAUAACAUUGUUAUGAUGCCAAUGUAGAGAGAUGUUGCAC